CAGUCGCCACGGUAAGACGAACCGUGCGAACGUUAUUCGGAACCACUGGGCUUAAAGCGCGUGUAGGCGGGCCGCCACGUCGGCUGCUGAAAUCCCCCGGCUCAACCGGGGAACGGGCACCGAUACGAGCGGCCUCGAGGGGGGUAGGGGGGUCUGGAACUUCCGGUGGAGCGGUGAAAUGCGUUGAGAUCGGAAGGAACGCCCGUGGCGAAAGCGAGGUCCUGGACGUCUACUGACGCUGAGACGCGAAAGCUAGGGGAGCGAACGGGAUUAGAUACCCCGGUAGUCCCUGUCUCUUAUA
rnacentral:rRNA from 1 species